CCCAGUAUCUUCCAAAAAUCCAUCUCUCCUCUCUCGAUAUUUUCUUUCGCAGUGACAAGCGCUCCUUUGUCACUUUCUUCUUCAAAUUUUGUUCUUCUUCACCAUAAAAAAUUACAGCGAAUCACACCAUGAAAUUCAUGCUAUUGAAGGACGAAAUAUAUCUUGCAAGUGGAAAGGCUUUUGGCUUGGUUUUGGAAGUUAGGGUUUGUGUCAAGGAAUGAGAAGAGUACCCACCCACACCUUCACAAUUACUCAGUCGGGUUAUUGAGAUUUAUCGGCUAGUGGUUCGUUCGAUUGGCGUGGAGCUGUUAGGAGCGAUUCAGUUGAUUCGUCUUAGUUAUUUUCAGGCAGCUUAGUAGCAGACUGUUGUCAGAUUCAGAUUAUUCGACUUAUUUCCUUUAGCAGGUUGUCAUAGUGGUGUCUUUUAUUUAAUCCUGGUUAUCUGCAGCUAUAGGGAGUCCUAGGUGGAUUUAGAUUUGGGAUUGUGAUUUUUUGUUAUAUUUUAAGAGUUGGCACUUGAGUGCUCGAGUUGAUUUUAUAUUUCACUUAAAAUACUGGUUAUGGGAGAACAUAUUGGCAGAUGUUGUUAAUUUGUAACUAUUGGAAUUACAAAAGAGAUUCUAAUGUUUUUAUAUAUGUGUACAAAGACAUUUUGAAUAAAUUGUUUGGAAAAUGAUUCUAUGAGGAAGAGGCUUGCCAGGCUAGGGUGGUAGUCUGUGCGCCGGUCACGGCUUAUGAUUUUGGGUCGUGAC